GACCAGCUCCUAGCAGGCGCCAGUUGACGGUUCCUCCAAGUCCUUGCUCCGCUCGCCUGGCGCCCACCGAGACCUCGCAGUGUCGCACAGAGGCAAGCGGUCAUCUCUCGGGGUCACCGCGCACAGCCUCGGCGCAUCAUUGCCUCAUUGGAGGAGCUGCUGAGCAGGGCGCACAUGGAGUUGGACUCCCCCGGCUUGGAGGCCCCCUCCCCGGGCAGCUUCAACACGGACGUCUUUCCUAGGGGCUGAUCGUCCCUGGGAAAACCCCUCCACGCCAUUGGCCGUGUACCACCUGUCGCGUCUGAAAGAGCUGGUUGACACCAUCAAGGAGAACAAGGAUGGCUGACUACCCGUGAUGUAGAAAGCCCGAAAGCAUUUUAUGGCGGUGGUCGAGGUUUCUACUCAGAAGGAUACGUUCGCUUGGUCCUGCUAAUUCAUGGUUGUUAAACAUCAAUGGUACUUCAGGUGCUGUGGUGUGAAUCGCAAUUACUUGUGAACUUGUGGGGCCCAUGGGGCACAGUAAUUGCCCUGUUAAUGGAAGUGCCACAACAAAGUAUUGGAAAAAUGUGAUAAAGUUCGUUCAGGGUUGGAGUUAUUGAAUGGUUGCAGCAGUAUUUUGCACAGCAAAUCCAUACAGACUCAAAUGUCACUUGAAAUAGAACGGAUAUGUGAACAAUAUUGUGAGCACAACUAAACUAAUUUUGGUUUUAGCCAUUUUGGAAGGAGACUACUUUAUUGGGAACAUACAUGCUAGUAUUUGUGUAGUUAUAAACAUUUGGGAAAUCACUGUAAAAGUACAUUUGCUUAUUUAGAUUGCACUAUACCUGUAUUGUAAAAUUUCAGAACCUUUUAUGUAAUUUGUAAUCAAUAAACCAAAGUUGCAUAUUGUAUGCAACCCAUGACUUGGAUUGUUUUUAUCAUGUCUUGUUUAGCAUGGUUGGUUAUGUACAGUGUGAAAGAAAUUCAACAUACAUUAAAUAUUUUCUGA